CUUUGAUGAAGUUUUCGGAUGGAUUUAAACAGCUUAGUGGCGGACGGGUGAGUAACGCGUGGGUAACCUGCCUCACACUGGGGGAUAACAGUUAGAAAUAGCUGCUAAUACCGCAUAAGCGCACGGUUCCGCAUGGAACAGUGUGAAAAACUCCGGUGGUACAGGAUGGAUUCGCGUCUGAUUAGCCAGUUGGCGGGGUAACGGCCCACCAAAGCGACGAUCAGUAGCCGGCCUGAGAGGUUGAACGGCCACAUUGGGACUGAGAUACGGCCCAGACUCC
rnacentral:rRNA from 1 species